GAGGGCAUGGCUCAGUGGUAGAGCAUGCGCUUAGCAUGCGUGAGAUCCUGGGUUCAGUCCCCAGUACCUCCA
rnacentral:tRNA from 1 species